rnacentral:rRNA from 1 species
CCCUAGCGGAGGAAAAGAAACUAACAAGGAUUCCCCUAGUAGCGGCGAGCGAAGCGGGAAGAGCUCAAAUUUAUAAUCUGGCACCUUCGGUGUCCGAGUUGUAAUCUCUAGAAAUGUUUUCCGCGUUGGACCGCACACAAGUCUGUUGGAAUACAGCGGCAUAGUGGUGAGACCCCCGUAUAUGGUGCGGACGCCCAGCGCUUUGUGAUACAUUUUCGAAGAGUCGAGUUGUUUGGGAAUGCAGCUCAAAUUGGGUGGUAAAUUCCAUCUAAAGCUAAAUAUUGGCGAGAGACCGAUAGCGAACAAGUACCGUGAGGGAAAGAUGAAAAGCACUUUGGAAAGAGAGUUAACAGUACGUGAAAUUGUUGGAAGGGAAACGCUUGAAGUCAGACUUGCUUGCCGAGCAAUCGGUUUGCAGGCCAGCAUCAGUUUUCCGGGAUGGAUAAUGGUAGAGAGAAGGUAGCAGUUUCGGCUGUGUUAUAGCUCUCUGCUGGAUACAUCUUGGGGGACUGAGGAACGCAGUGUGCCUUUGGCGGGGGUUUCGACCUCUUCACACUUAGGAUGCUGGUGGAAUGGCUUUAAACGACCCGUCUUAAAC